CAUUGCAGCUACACCACCUCCGGCUGUGGUCUUGUCGGAUCUCAUAAGCUAAACAGGGCUGGGCCUAAUUAGUACUUACAUGGGAGACCUCCAAGGAAAACCAAGCUCUGUAAGGA
ensembl:rRNA 5S_rRNA 5S ribosomal RNA